UACGUAGGGUGCAAGCGUUGUCCGGAAUUAUUGGGCGUAAAGAGCUCGUAGGCGGUCUGUCGCGUCGGCUGUGAAAACUCACAGCUUAACUGUGGGCGUGCGGGCGAUACGGGCAGACUGGAGUACUGCAGGGGAGACUGGAAUUCCUGGUGUAGCGGUGGAAUGCGCAGAUAUCAGGAGGAACACCGGUGGCGAAGGCGGGUCUCUGGGCAGUAACUGACGCUGAGGAGCGAAAGCGUGGGGAGCGAACAGG
rnacentral:rRNA from 1 species